rnacentral:ncRNA from 1 species
UAAGGCAAACAUUGGUGAGAAUCCAAUGCCCCAAAAACUUCUCCAUAGGGGUUCUUCCACAAGGUUCGUCCACGAAGGGUGAGUCAGGGCCUAAGAGCAAACCAAAAGGCAUAGUUGAUGGACAAGAGGUGUAUAUUCCAGUACUACCCCUUGUUGGUCUCGAAGGAUGGAGGAGGCUAGGUUUAUUGAAAGAUGGUUAUCGAUUCAAGAACGUAAGGUGCCCCUAUUUUAGGGUCGAAAGGGGUAAAAAAAAUAUCUCGAGCCAAUGUUCAAGUACCAGGUGCUAUAACAUUCAAGUCACCAAUGCCAUACUCCCAAGAAAAGUCAAACAACCUUCAACAAAAGGGUACCUGUACCCGAAACCGACACAGGUGGGUAGGUAGAGAAUACCUAGGGGCACGAGACAACUCUCUCUAAGGAACUCACCAAAAUAGCCCCGUAACUUUGAGAGAAGAGGUGCCUUCUCACAAAUGGGGUCGUAGUGACCAGGCCUAGGCAACUAUUUGCCAAAAACACAAGUCUCCACAAAGUCGUAAGACUAUGUAUAGGGGCUAACGCAUGCCCAGUGUCGGAAGGUCAAGGAAGUUGGUGACCUGAUAACAAGAGAGCAUAAGAUUGAAGCCUCGGUGAACGACAAUCAUCACUACAAUGGUCGCCACGGAGCGGUACCGAAAUUCCUUGUAGGGUUAGUUUUAACCCACACGAAAGGCAUAACGAUCUUGGCACUAUCUUAGAAAGAGGCUCGGUGAAA